GCGGACGUGGCGGAACCGGCAGACGCGCCAGCUUGAGGGGCUGGUGGGGGCAACCCCGUGAGAGUUCAAAUCUCUCCGUCCGCA
rnacentral:tRNA from 1 species